GGAUGAAUAUUGGUCAAUGGACGAGAGUCUGAACCAGUCAAGUAGCAUGCAGGAUGACGGCCCUAUGGGUUGUAAACUGCUUUUAUACGGGGAUAAAAGGUGUCACGUGUGACAUUUUGCAGGUACCGUAUGAAUAAGGACCGGCUAAUUCCGUGCCAGCAGCCGCGGUAAUACGGAAGGUCCGGGCGUUAUCCGGAUUUAUUGGGUUUAAAGGGAGCGUAGGCUGCCGGUUAAGUGUGUUGUGAAAUGC
rnacentral:rRNA from 1 species